rnacentral:rRNA from 1 species
CCUACGGGUGGCAGCAGUGGGGAAUAUUGGGCAAUGGGCGCAAGCCUGACCCAGCAACGCCGCGUGAAGGAAGAAGGCCCUCGGGUUGUAAACUUCUUUUAUGAAGGAAGAGCCAAAUAACGGUACUUGUUGAUUAAGCAACGGCGAACUACGUGCCAGCGGCCGCGGUAAUACGUAGGUGGCAAGCGUUAUCCGGAUUUACUGGGGGUAAGGGGCGUGUAGGGGGGAAGGCAAGUCAGAUGUGAAAACCAUGGGCUCAACCCAGGGCCUGCAUUUGAAACUGUUGUUCUUGAGUGUCGGAGAGGCAGUCGGAAGUCCGGGUGUAGCGGUGAAAUGCGUAGAUAUAAGGAGGAACACCAGUGGCGAAGGCGGACUGCUGGACAAUAACUGACGAUGAGGCGCGAAAGCGUGGGGAGCAAACAGGAUUAGAUACCCCUGUAGUC